GAUGAACGCUGGCGGCGUGCUUAACACAUGCAAGUCGAACGGUGAAGCAGAGCUUGCUCUGUGGAUCAGUGGCGAACGGGUGAGUAACACGUGAGCAACCUGCCCCUGACUCUGGGAUAAGCGCUGGAAACGGCGUCUAAUACUGGAUAUGAGCUGCGACCGCAUGGUCAGCAGUUGGAAAGAUUUUUCGGUCUGGGAUGGGCUCACGGCCUAUCAGCUUGUUGGUGUGGUAAUGGCUCACCAAGGCGUCGACGGGUAGCCGGCCUGAGAGGGUGGCCGGGCACACUGGGACUGAGACACGGCCCAGACUCCUACGGGAGGCAGCAGUGGGGAAUAUUGCACAAUGGGCGAAAGCCUGAUGCAGCAACGCCGCGUGAGGGAUGACGGCCUUCGGGUUGUAAACCUCUUUUAGCAGGGAAGAAGCGAAAGUGACGGUACCUGCAGAAAAAGCGCCGGCUAACUACGUG
rnacentral:rRNA from 1 species